UACGUAGGGCGCAAGCGUUAUCCGGAAUUAUUGGGCGUAAAGAGCUCGUAGGCGGUUUGUCGCGUCUGCCGUGAAAGUCCGGGGCUCAACUCCGGAUCUGCGGUGGGUACGGGCAGGCUAGAGUUCGGUAGGGGAGACUGGAAUUCCUGGUGUAGCGGUGAAAUGCGCAGAUAUCAGGAGGAACACCGAUGGCGAAGGCAGGUCUCUGGGCCACUACUGACGCUGAGAAGCGAAAGCGUGGGGAGCGAACAGG
rnacentral:rRNA from 1 species